rnacentral:rRNA from 1 species
UGGGGAAUUUUGCACAAUGGGGGAAACCCUGAUGCAGCGACGCCGCGUGAUUUAGAAGGCCUUCGGGUUGUAAAAAUCUUUUGUAUGGGAAGAAAAUGACAGUACCAUACGAAUAAGGACCGGCUAAUUACGUGCCAGCAGCCGCGGUAAUACGUAAGGUCCGAGCGUUGUCCGGAAUCAUUGGGCGUAAAGGGUACGUAGGCGGAUAAGCAAGUUAGAAGUGAAAUCCUAUAGCUCAACUAUAGUAAGCUUUUAAAACUGCUCAUCUUGAGGUAUGGAAGGGAAAGUGGAAUUCCUAGUGUAGCGGUGAAAUGCGCAGAUAUUAGGAGGAACACCAGUGGCGAAGGCGGCUAUCUGGACAGUAACUGACGCUGAGGCGCGAAAGCGUGGGUAGCAAACAGG